GCCCAGAUGAUCGUCGGUGGUUCGGUGUGCGGUCUUCAAACCCGUAGCUGACGAGAGUCAGAGUUUUUCAAUUCCAGUUUAUGGGCG